AGUGUGAAACUCAAAUGAAUUGACGGGCCCCCGCACAAGCGGUGGAGCAUGUGGUUUAAUUGGAACCAACGCGCAGAACCUUACCAACACUUGACAUCUUGCUGAUUGAUGUAGAAAUAUUGAGGUGCUUUCCGCAGCAGAGACAGGUGCUGCAUGGCUGUCGUCAGCUCGUGUCGUGAGAUGUUGGGUUAAGUCCCGCAACGAGCGCAACCCUCGUUUUUAGUUGCCAUCAUUUAGUAUUGGCACUCUAGAAAGACCGCCGGUGAUAAACGGGAGGAAGGUGUGGAUGACGUCAAGUCAUCAUGCCCUUUACACCUUGGGGUACACACGUACUACAAUGCUACGGACAUAGGCCAGCAAACUCGCGAGACCUAGCAAAUCCCUAAACCGUGGGUCAGUUCAGAUCGUAGGCUGCAACUCGCCUACGUGAAGUAGGAAUCGAUAGUAAUCGCAGGUCAGCAUUCUGCGGUGAAUACGUUC
rnacentral:rRNA from 1 species